AUUGAACGCUGGCGGCAGGCCUAACACAUGCAAGUCGAGCGAGCGGCGGACGGGUGAGUAAUGUCUGGGAAACUCCCUGAUGGAGGGGGCUAACUCCUGGAAACGGUAUCUAAUACCCCACACCAUCCGAUGUGCCCCGAUGGGAUUAGCUCGUAGGUGGGGUAACGGCUCACCAAGGCGACGAUCCCUAGCUGGUCUGAGAGGAUGACCAGCCACACGGGAACUGAGACACGGUCCAGACUCCUACGGGAGGCAGCAGUGGGGAAUAGGGCACAAUGGGCGCAAGCCUGAUACAGCCAUGCCGCGUGUGGGAAGAAGGCCUUCGGGUUGUAAAGCACUUUCAGCGGGGAGGCGUUACCCGCAGAAGAAGCACCGGCUAACUCCGUGCCAGCAGCCGCGGUAAUUC
rnacentral:rRNA from 1 species